rnacentral:rRNA from 1 species
AGGACGAACGCUGGCGGCGUGCCUAACACAUGCAAGUGGAGCGACGAACCAGGCUUCGGCCUGGGGCAAAGCCGCGAACGGGUGAGUAACACGUGGGUAACCUGCCCCGAUGAUUGGGACAACCCGAGGAAACUCGGGCUAAUACCGAAUGUGCCCUCCGACCGCAAGGUCACUGGGGAAAGGAAGCUUCGGCCUCCGCAUCGGGAUGGGCCCGCGGCCCAUUAGCUUGUUGGUGAGGUAACGGCUCACCAAGGCAACGAUGGGUAGCUGGUCUGAGAGGACGAUCAGCCACACUGGGACUGAGACACGGCCCAGACUCCUACGGGAGGCAGCAGUGGGGAAUCUUGCGCAAUGCGCGAAAGCGUGACGCAGCAACGCCGCGUGGGGGAAGACGGCCUUCGGGUUGUAAACCCCGUUUCAGUUGGGACGAAGCUUCACCGGUGAAUAGCCGGUUGGAGUGACGGUACCUUCGAGAAGAAGCCCCGGCUAACUACGUGCCAGCAGCCGCGGU